rnacentral:rRNA from 1 species
UACGAAGGGGGCUAGCGUUGUUCGGAAUUACUGGGCGUAAAGGGCGCGUAGGCGGCCAUCUAAGUCAGACGUGAAAUCCCUCGGCUCAACCGAGGAACUGCGUCUGAUACUGGAAGGCUUGAAUCCGGGAGAGGGAUGUGGAAUUCCAGGUGUAGCGGUGAAAUGCGUAGAUAUCGGGAGGAACACCAGUGGCGAAGGCGGCUUCCUGGCCUGUUCU